AUUAUAGCAUUACAGGAAGUAGCUCAUAAACAGUGUGGUAAGUGUUCUUCAGAGUGUGUUUGCGCACACUUUGUGUGAGUUCCCGCCGGCUCUCCUGUUGGCUGUGAGACGAGCUCUGUCGUGCCCUUCACUGCUUUCUGCCAUCCUUCCUGACGUGAGGCCUCAAAAACGGGAGGGGCUGGAACUAAGGAUUUGAAAGUAAAACAAUGGGUACUUUUUAUUGCAUAAGAAAUUAAAAACUACAUUCUUGUUAGAAAAUGAAAAAGUUGCUGAUAAAACUGAAGUUGCCUUUGAUGAGCAUUUCGUGGUCCACCUCCUAAUCUCUUCUCCAGGGGACACCCCAGUCAGCAGCUUGGUGUGGGUUGCCUGAGACCUUUGUGCAUGUAUGUGUACGUGUCUACGUUUGUUAGAACUAGGCAAUAUGGUGUUUUUUGUUUUUAAACAUAAAUGCAAUCUUUCUGUAUCAUUCUGUUGAUUUUUAACUGUAGCUGAAAGCUCUUUUAUCCCUAAAUUAUCUUUCUUUUAACUGUUCCAUAGUACUCUAUUAUAUGCAGCAUGAUUUAAUACUUUAUAAAAACUUGAGAAAAAAAUAUUUUUCCAACUGAAACAGGUUUAUAGAAAAUCUAAGGUGAACUUUAAAGGAUUUGUUUUUUUCAGGGCAGAUACCAGGUCAAUAUUUUGCCAGUAAUCAUCAGUCACAAAAAUAAAACCUGAUACAUCUUGUUUGAUUUUAUUCAGUGAAUUAUAGUUACUAUACAUGAUUGUCUAGUUCUUUUGUAUAUAAGAGCUCAUUGAGCAGGAAUGUAUUUUAUCUUUGUUCCUCCCCAAGACCUACAGCAGUUUGCAUGAAGUUUAAAAAAAAAAAGUCUAUCCUGGUUGAAUUGAACUGAAAAUACUUUGUUUAGAGAUUUGCAGUCUGAGCUGGCCUGCCUAUACACUGGCAAAUGCAGAAGGGGAUAAAACGGGCUCGGUAGUGAGUCUGUUUGAGCCCCGUACCUCAGAAACUUAGAGUCCAAAUCCUGGCAUUCUACUUUUUCAAAAAUUUCCAGACAAAAGAAAAAAGCUAAACAAGAAGUCAAGGUUUAUAUACGAAG